rnacentral:rRNA from 1 species
UAGGGAAUCUUCGGCAAUGGACGGAAGUCUGACCGAGCAACGCCGCGUGAGUGAAGAAGGUUUUCGGAUCGUAAAGCUCUGUUGUUAGAGAAGAACGUUGGUAGGAGUGGAAAAUCUACCAAGUGACGGUAACUAACCAGAAAGGGACGGCUAACUACGUGCCAGCAGCCGCGGUAAUACGUAGGUCCCGAGCGUUGUCCGGAUUUAUUGGGCGUAAAGCGAGCGCAGGCGGUUCUUUAAGUCUGAAGUUAAAGGCAGUGGCUUAACCAUUGUACGCUUUGGAAACUGGAGGACUUGAGUGCAGAAGGGGAGAGUGGAAUUCCAUGUGUAGCGGUGAAAUGCGUAGAUAUAUGGAGGAACACCGGUGGAGAAAGCGGCUCUCUGGUAUGUAACUGACGCUGAGGCUCGAAAGCGUGGGGAGCAAACAGG